GAAAAAAAAAAAAAAAGUAGUACAUCUCCCAAAUCAUCACACGUAUAUAUCCUCUGCCAUUUAGCCACGCCUAUAUCUUCCUCUCGUCUCUAUCUCUAUCUCUAUCUCUAUCUCCAUCUCCCCCAUUCUCAAACUUCUCUCUGAAAUUCUCCUAACAAUUCACAAUGCAGGAACAAUCCCAAAUUAUCUCCCAAAUUGUUUCACAGAGGCAUAAUUCCUAUCCGUCAUAGCUCCCUCCCUCUUUCUCACAAAAACAGAAGUAACCAAAGGACUCUCAUCUCUCGUUCCAAAAAUCGACGCCGCAACAGCCUUCGUCGCUGCUGCAGUCACGGCCUCUCCGUCACCGCCACUGUCCGCCACCGAUCCCGGCGGUCAGCUCCUCCGUCGCGGCACCGCUACUCCCAACAACACAUGAUUUAAUUGAAAUUGAAAAGAAACAGGAGACGGCUUCUAAAGCCUUAAAGAUCGAAGCUUUAGGAGGAAAAAGAUUAUCAUUCAACAAGUUUCAAGGAAUUAAAUUCCAAAACUUUUCCGGGCUGUGAUCUACUGUGAAAUAUAUGUGACCAUGAUGUGGAGGAUUUCAGCGAUUAAGGAUAUACCUUUGAAGAGAAGAAAAUUUGCACAAGCAGAAGGUAUUGAAAAGUCACACUCUCUCGAUUUCUCCUUCCCACUUCGCGGAAGAAGCAGAACUUGCAGAAGAGAAGAUAUUGAAAAAAAAAUCACAACUCGUUGCGUUUCUCCUCCACACUGUGAUUUCGAGAAUUUUGAUUAUGGAAUCGACCAAUAUGCAGAUUUUCGAAUUCAAUGGGAGGGGAAGAAAUUACCUUCACUGAAAGGGAAGAAAACUGCAGGGACGACGGACUGCUGAGAUUGUGGGAGGAGAUGUAUAAUAUAGAAAUUUGAUUGGUUUGUUGAGAGAUUUUUGGUAGUGGGAGCAAGGUGGAGACGUGGAUUUAGGAGAGGGAAUUUAUUUUGACUAACAAUUUGACUGUAGUAGAAGAAUAAUUAAUUUAUAUUUUGGCUUCUCAAAAUCGGUCAACCAAAAAGGAAUAAAAGCUAGAAACAUGGGAGGUAAAAAGAUAAGCCCAAAUAUUUGGUUUAGAGUAUUUAUUGGUAUUUUAUUUUUAGUAUUUUGGUGAUUAAAUAAGAACACCUAAU